rnacentral:lncRNA from 1 species
GCGAGCCCCCCAGCGCCCCACCCUCCCCCAUCGGAAAAGGACAGGGGUAGGGAAGCCGAGGACCCACGGGCUGCGUUCGUGCUGCUGGGUCGGGAAGGAGGAAGCGUGACAGCUGGAGCGGGAGAAAUGAGCCUUCCUGAGGAAGAAUGGCAAAUAUUACUGGGCAUCUCUUCAGCCUCAGCACAGACAAGCCCACAUCCCCCAACCAUGCCAGUAUCGUAACUUCCUCCUAUACUACGCAAUGACACCCUCUACACACACACACACACGCACACACACACACACACACACACACACACACAACCCCCUCAGCCAGGUGUAGCACUGCAGUCUUCAGUGUUUGUGGAGGCUUAAUAAGUUUUGAGGCUUCAAGCAAAUGAUUCCCUCUUGAGGGCUACCUACUAGCAGCAACGGUCAGGGAGAGGAGGAGGAUACAGUCUAUGAUGUGAUUAAGGAAUUCAGAAGUCCAGGUCUUCAAGUCCCCAGGAUCCCACAGUUUGCUGCCCUUCAGCUCCAGGGAUAGCUAAACUUUCAGUCAGAGAAGUCAAGAAAACCACUGAAAAGAUCCCAGGAG